CAGAACAGGACUCUUCUUCUCUUAGAGGCUCGUGUGCUCCAGCACCCUCUCCCCACUCCUUUUGGAGGUCCAGACCACUUCCAGGCUCUAAUCUGUGUCUCCUUGCCCUUUUCCUGGCCCGGCCUCCACCCUAAGCUUCCUGGUGGCCGACUUCAGGCGGCGGGGCGUGGACGUGUCUCAGGUGGCCUGGCAGAGCAAGGGGGACACCCCCAGCUCCUGCUGCAUCAUCAACAACUCCAAUGGCAACCGUACCAUUGUGCUCCAUGACACGAGCCUGCCAGAUGUGUCUGCUACGGACUUUGAGAAGGUUGAUCUGACCCAGUUCAAGUGGAUCCACAUUGAGGGCCGGAACGCAUCGGAGCAGGUGAAGAUGCUGCAGCGGAUAGACGCACACAACACCAGGCAGCCUCCAGAGCAGAAGAUCCGGGUGUCCGUGGAGGUGGAGAAGCCACGAGAGGAGCUCUUCCAGCUGUUUGGCUACGGAGACGUGGUGUUUGUCAGCAAAGAUGUGGCCAAGCACUUGGGGUUCCAGUCAGCAGAGGAAGCCUUGAGGGGCUUGUAUGGUCGUGUGAGGAAAGGGGCUGUGCUUGUCUGUGCCUGGGCUGAGGAGGGUGCCGACGCCCUGGGCCCUGAUGGCAAAUUGCUCCACUCGGAUGCUUUCCCGCCACCCCGCGUGGUGGAUACACUGGGAGCUGGAGACACCUUCAAUGCCUCUGUCAUCUUCAGCCUCUCCCAGGGGAGGAGCAUGCAGGAAGCACUGAGAUUCGGGUGCCAGGUGGCCGGCAAGAAGUGUGGCCUGCAGGGCUUUGAUGGCAUCGUGUGAGAGCAGGUGCCGGCUCCCCACACACCAUGGAGACUACCAUUGCGGCUGCAUCGCCUUCUCCCCUCCAUCCAGCCUGGCGUCCAGGUUGCCCUGUUCAGGGGACAGAUGCAAGCUGUGGGGAGGACUCUGCCUGUGUCCUGUGUUCCCCACACGCCUCUCCCUGCAGAGCCUCAGAGCAAAUAAAUCUUCCUCAGAGCCA
rnacentral:sRNA from 1 species